rnacentral:tRNA from 1 species
CGGGGUGUGGCCCAGUUGGUAGGGCACCUGGUUUGGGACCAGGACGCCGCGAGUUCGAGUCUCGCCACUCCGACCA